GCGGCUGGUCUGUGUGCUCACGUAGCUGUGGAGCCGGAGCCUCGGUGCGGACACGUACCUGCAUCACCAGGAACCCGGUGGGCGGACCAUGCGGAGGAGAUCCCAGACAAUACAAGAUCUGCAACACCAAGGAGUGUCCCUCAGGUUUGGAGGAUUUCCGUGAGAUGCAGUGUGCCGCCUUCAACGACAGGCCGCUGGUGGGUGGAAACUCCUUCAGAUGGACAACGUUUC